rnacentral:rRNA from 1 species
GAUAAUCCUCAAUUAAUCUUACUUAAAAUUAAUAAUUUGUAUAUCGUCGUCAUAAGAAUUUUUUUAAAGAUAAAAAAUUUUCUAAAAUUUAAAUUUAAAAUUAUGUCAGAUCAAGGUGCAGUUUAUGUUUAAGAAAAAAUUAGUUACAAUAAAUUUAUUUAUGAAUAUUAAUUUUAAAUAAUUAAUUGAAAUUGGAUUUAUUUGUAAAUUUAAAUUAUAAUAGAAUUUAAUUGAAUGAAGUAAUAAAAUAUGUACAAAUCGCCCGUCACUCUCUG